rnacentral:rRNA from 1 species
GUAGGUGGCAAGCGUUGUCCGGAAUUAUUGGGCGUAAAGCGCGCGCAGGCGGUUCUUUAAGUCUGAUGUGAAAGCCCACGGCUCAACCGUGGAGGGUCAUUGGAAACUGGAGAACUUGUGUACAGAAGAGGAAAGCGGAAUUCCACGUGUAGCGGUGAAAUGCGUAGAGAUGUGGAGGAACACCAGUGGCGAAGGCGGCUUUCUGGUCUGUAACUGACGCUGAGGCGCGAAAGCGUGGGGAGCAAACAGGAUUAGAUACCCUGGUAGUCCACGCCGUAAACGAUGAGUGCUAAGUGUUAGGGGGUUUCCGCCCCCCUUAGUGCUGCAGCUAACGCAUUAAGCACUCCGCCUGGGAGUACGGCCGCAAGGCUG